AGCAGCCGCGGUAAUUCCAGCUCCAAUAGCGUAUAUUAAAGUUGUUGCAGUUAAAAAGCUCGUAGUUGAACUUCGGGAUUCACCCAUUGGUCAGGCUUAAUUGUCUGUACUGGUGAGAUGAGUCUCUACCUUCUGAGGAACUUUCAUGCCAUUUGUUUGGUGUGGUUGGAAAUCAGGACUGUUACUUUGAAAAAAUUAGAGCGUUUAAAGCAGGCUAACGUCUGAAUACAUUAGCAUGGAAUAAUGAAAUAGGACGGAUUGAUUCUAUUUCGUUGGUUUCUAGGGUCACCGUAAUGAUUAAUAGGGAUAGUUGGGGGCAUUAGUAUUCAAUUGUCAGAGGUGAAAUUCUUGGAUUUAUUGAAGACUAACUACUGCGAAAGCAUUUGCCAAGGAUGUUUUCAUUAAUCAAGAACGAAAGUUAGGGGAUCGAAGACGAUCAGAUACCGUCGUAGUCUUAACCAUAAACUAUGCCGACUAGGGAUCGGACGAAGUUAAUUUUAUAAUGACGC
rnacentral:rRNA from 1 species